UUCUGAUAACACACACACACACACACUCCUGAGUUCAGAGGUCAUUGAGUCAAGCAUUAACCAGCAGCGGUAAAUCCUCUAAAUGAUCACGGGUUUCAGCUUUACCUCCAGCUUUUUGUUUGGGUUUGUGUAGUGUUCCUCCAGUUUUCCCGCGGUGCAGGAGCUGAUGAGUGCUGUGUUUCUGGACGAGCUGCCGGGAUGGUUCCUGUGGACGGGGAUCUUCCUCCCUGUGACUGCGCUACUGCUGCUCCUCAUCGCUUUCUUCAGCGGCAAACUCACACACACAGAGCAGCAGCUGGCCGUGAGCGCAGACCCUCGACAAACAGCAUAUCUGCAUUGUUUCAGACAGCAGACAGAGAAAAGGAGACACACACCACACACACACAAGACCAGAUGAAGAGCUUUGGAGGAACACACACACGACCAUACACAAACAAGCACAGCCGCAGAACUCUGGAGAAACACACACACAUACACACAGUAGUGUACUACAGUACUUGAAUGGAUAUGCUGUUGUGAUUCAACAGUUGCUAUGGUUACACAACAACCACAAUAAAAAAAAUCUGCUGUGGUGAUCCUACAGUUGCUAUGGUAACAACCACAAUAAAUGAUCUGUUAUGGUAAUUAUACAGUUGCUAUGGUAACAACUAUAAUAAAUGGUCUGCUGUGGCGAUUCUACAGUUGCUAUGGUAACAAUUACUACAAUAAAUGAUGUUGUUAUUAUUCUAGUUGCUAUGGCAACAACUACAAUAAAUGCUGUUGUGAUUC